rnacentral:rRNA from 1 species
CACGUAGGGGGCAAGCGUUGUCCGGAUUUAUUGGGCGUAAAGAGCUCGUAGGCGGCUCAGUAAGUCAGGUGUGAAACCUCCAGGCUCAACCUGGAGACGCCACCUGAUACUGCUGUGGCUAGAGUCCGGUAGGGGAGCGUGGAAUUCCUGGUGUAGCGGUGAAAUGCGCAGAUAUCGGGAGGAACACCGGUGGCGAAGGCGGUUCUCUGGGCCUGUACUGACGCUGAGGAGCGAAAGCGUGGGGAGCGAACAGG